AAUGACAAUCGAUUGUGAGUAAGACAGUGAGCAUCAGGUUUUUCAAACCUGCAUGACAAUCGAUUGUGAACAAAUGACAAUCGAUUGUGAUGAGGAAGUGUCCAUCAAAGUUUUUCAAAAACUCAGAAUAAUCGAUUGUGAAGCUAAUGAAAAUCGAUUGUGAAGAGACAGUGUCCUUCAAAUUUUUCAAAGUGACAAAAUGAUCGAUUGUGAACUUAUGACAAUCGAUUGUGUUGAGGCAGUGACUUCCAGACU
rnacentral:lncRNA from 1 species